CAGCAUGUUCAGCACGCAAUGCACACAGUUGCAAUGCCUAUUUAAACACCCCCCCCCCCUCCCUCCCUUCAGAUCCACAGUUCACCGCCGUGGCUGGAAUCGCCGGCAACAAUGGCCGAGGCCAGGCGGCUCUGAGGAGUCAGCCCUGCAUAACAGCUACCGAUCCAGGACCGCAGAAGGGACUCGAGCCGUUCUCCACAGGGAGGUGCAGCCAUGGAGAGGUAUGAAAAAAUAUGAAACGUAUGGAAGCAGCACUCAAUCCGAUCGAAGAGGAUGAAGAGCACUCAAUUCCCAUAAGUUCGAGUGGGUAACGAGUAUUCACCAACAGUGAAAAAGAUCAUACCGUGAGAGUCCUCAACCAGCGCAUGUGAACAAGCAGCGCAUGCCGCAACCAUGGGACAACGCCGCCAUCCUUGGUAUCUUUGAUAUCGCCGGACAGUUGACCCGCUCAGAUGGCAGACUCGACAAGCUGCCUAGGACACCCGUCCAUUGCAAGCCAAACUUUAAGGUCGUGAAGACAGCCAUAGAAAUGUAUACCGCCUUGGAGGGGUCAACGCUGAACAUGUCUAAGGCUGUUUUCAUGGCCUGAAAGUUUGGUUUGCACUGCACAGGGGUCUUAGGCAGCAUGUCGACCUUGCCACCUGAACGGGCCAAGUGUCUGGUGAUAUCAAAGAUCUGAGAGGUGACGACCUUGUCCCAUGGCCGUGACUUGCACGACUUGUUUUGAGUCUCGAAGCAGAUGAUCCCAUCGAAACAGUCCUUCAUACCCAGCCUUUCGAGGAUUCUCAUGGUAUGGUCCUUGUUAUUGUUUGUGAAUAUAUGAGAGAGAGCAUGCAUGUGUGAAA